CGCUGGCGGCGUGCUCAUACAUGUCAAGUCGAGCGGACUUUUGGGAGCUUGCUCCCAAAAGUUAGCGGCGGACGGGUGAGUACACGUGGGCAACCUGCCUAUAAGACUGGGAUAACUUCGGGAAACCGGAGCUAAUACCGGAUAAUUCCUUUCCUCUCAUGAGGGAAGGCUGAAAGACGGCUUACGCUGUCACUUAUAGAUGGGCCCGCGGCGCAUUAGCUAGUUGGUGAGGUAACGGCUCACCAAGGCGACGAUGCGUAGCCGACCUGAGAGGGUGAUCGGCCACACUGGGACUGAGACACGGCCCAGACUCCUACGGGAGGCAGCAGUAGGGAAUCUUCCGCAAUGGACGAAAGUCUGACGGAGCAACGCCGCGUGAGUGAUGAAGGUUUUCGGAUCGUAAAACUCUGUUGUUAGGGAAGAACAAGUACGAGAGUAACUGCUCGUACCUUGACGGUACCUAACCAGAAAGCCACGGCUAACUACGUGCCAGCAGCCGCGGUAAUACGUAGGUGGCAAGCGUUGUCCGGAAUUAUUGGGCGUAAAGCGCGCGCAGGCGGUCUUUUAAGUCUGAUGUGAAAGCCCACGGCUCAACCGUGGAGGGUCAUUGGAAACUGGGA
rnacentral:rRNA from 1 species